UGGAUGAGUGAUGCAUCUUAUUGGGUAUGAGGCAUGGAUCAUGACAACUGGUCUGGAGUCUGAGUUCCAC
rnacentral:snoRNA from 1 species